rnacentral:rRNA from 1 species
GGAUGCGAUCAUACCAGCACUAAAGCACCGGAUCCCAUCAGAACUCUGAAGUUAAGCGUGCUUGGGUGAGAGUAGUACUAGGAUGGGUGACCUCCUGGGAAGUCCUCGUGUUGCAUUCC